GUCUACGGCCAUACCACCCUGAACGCGCCCGAUCUCGUCUGAUCUCGGAAGCUAAGCAGGGUCGGGCCUGGUUAGUACUUGGAUGGGAGAAAGCGAGAGGGAGGGAGAAU
rnacentral:rRNA from 1 species